rnacentral:rRNA from 1 species
GACGUAGGGGGCCAGCGUUGCUCGGAAUUACUGGGUGUAAAGGGUUCGUAGGCGGUGUGGCAAGUCGGGAGUGAAAAUCUCUGGGCUCAACCCAGAGUCUGCUUCCGAAACUGCUGUGCUUGAGUGUGGGAGAGGCGCGUGGAAUUGCAGGUGUAGCGGUGAAAAUGCGUAGAUAUCUGCAGGAAACACCCCGUGCGAAGGCGGCUCUCUGGGGACGGUACUGACGCUGAGAGCGAAAAGCUGGGGGAGCAACAGG